UUCAAAAACAAACAUUUAAAAGUGCCCAUGAAGUAAAAGCGUAAAAUACAGUAUGGAUUAAAAUGUGUCCAAGUUGUUCCCCCUCUACGUGUCUAUCUGGUCGAGCCAAAACUCUAUGAGAGCCUUUGCUGUAUCGCUGGUCCAGUGGAUGGGAUCACAAGAUUCUGUCUUAAAUGUUAGUGGACUGAUCUCCGGGAGUGCAUUCUUUUUCUUGGUUAUUUGCCGAUUCAGGCUUUGUAAUAAAACUUUUUGUUCUCUUUCCAAUCUGUGUGAGUAAUUGAUAAUGGGAAUGUAUAUUGAGGCAUUGGGAAAUGUCUCCUCAGCUGUCUUCAGUAGAGCAUUCAAUUGUUUGGACAUGGUAAGUGGUUGUUGGCGUCUCAGACAAUUGUUGAGACCCAAGGAGAGAAUGACCUCACUGACGGUAGUAACAGGUUGGAGUUUCUUUAGUACCUGGUCGAUAUGAUGGAACUGUGCACCAGGGAAGCUGUCAACUUGAACUUCAUCACUGGUGAACGGUGGAAUACGAGCCAGGUUGGAGUCUCCUAUUACUAGGACAGGUUUUUUGAUGUGUAGUUGCCAGUUUCUAAUUUUCUGUUCUGUUUUCUGAUGGGUUGUAGGUUCCCGGACAGAGGCAAAGCCAGACAUUGAAGGUGACUGUGUUUUGGAAAGGAGUCACCUGUUUCGGUUUGCUAUUGACCUUCCGACAAGUCUGGAAAGCCUCUGAACGGUCACCCAUCAGCCCAGGGUCCUGAUAGGGAGAUUUGGGAACAGAAGGAGGUGAUUGGGUCUCACCAAGGAGGAGGGGGGGCCCUUUUCCCACUCACCCAGGUUCUGUGUAGUCAACACCGUAAACCGGUUCUGGAGUGGCAGAGUCAUGGUGUCAUAAAAAAGCAGGUAAGAGAGAUCCCGCUGGAACCUGCCCGGAAAGAAGGGGAGAAGAGAAAAGAAAAGAAAAAGAAACUUGACUAAAGCUAAGGAGGAUCAAAUGGUCACCCAGGUAGGUAAGUAUGGGAAGGUAAGUAGGUAAAGGGAAACAGGUAAGUAAAAAACGGAAACUUGGGGUUAGGAAAGAGGAAAAG